rnacentral:rRNA from 1 species
GACGAACGCUGGCGGCGUGCUUAACACAUGCAAGUCGAACGGAAAGGCCCUGCUUUUGUGUGGUUCUCGAGUGGCGAACGUGUGUGUAACCUGUGAGUCACCUUCCCUUUACUUUGGGAUAUCUUCAGGAAACUGGUGCUAAUACCGGAUAGGAGCUCCUGCUGCAUGGUGGGGUUUGGAAAGUUUCGGCGGUUGUGGAUGGACUGGCGGCUUAUCAGCUUGUUGGUGGGGUAGUGGCUUACCAAGGCUUUGAAGGGUAGCCGGCCUGAGAGGGUGACCGGGCACAUUGGGACUGAGAGACGGACCAGAGUCCAACGGGAGGCAGCAGGGGAGAAUAUUGCACAAUGAGGGGAAGCCUGAUAAAGAAACGCCGCGUGCGGGAUGAAGGCCUUCGGGUUGUAAACCGCUGUAGCCUGUGACGAAGCGGGAGUGACGGUAAUGGGUAAAGAAGCACCGGCUAACUACGUG